rnacentral:sRNA from 1 species
UUGAUUUGUUGAGGGCAGAUAAAAUGAAUGUGGGCGUCAAUCCCACCAGCGGUAACAAUCAUUCCCUCACCAGCAAUAACCUCUGUUCCAGCACCCACAAUCAUCUCUGCACCGACACCGUCCAUCAGAUUUGGAUUUCCCGAUUUUCCUAUGCCGAUAAUCCUGCCAUCACGGACACCAAUAUCAGCUUUAACAAUCCCCCAAUGAUCCAGAAUCAGGGCAUUGGUAAUUACCAGAUCCAACGCACCGUCAGACCGAGUGGCAUUUGGCGAUUGUCCCAUGCCAUCACG